CUCCUUUGACGUUAGUGGCGGACGGGUGAGUAACACGUGGGUAACCUACCUAUAAGACUGGGAUAACUUCGGGAAACCGGAGCUAAUACCGGAUAAUAUUUCGAACCGCAUGGUCGAUAGUGAAAGGUGGUUUUGCUAUCACUUAUAGAUGGACCCGCGCCGUAUUAGCUAGUUGGUAAGGUAACGGCUUACCAAGGCGACGAUACGUAGCCGACCUGAGAGGGUGAUCGGCCACACUGGAACUGAGACACGGUCCAGACUCCUACGGGAGGCAGCAGUA
rnacentral:rRNA from 1 species